rnacentral:rRNA from 1 species
UUAGAUUAAGUUAUUAAGGGCGCACGGUGGAUGCCUUGGCACUAGAAGCCGAUGAAGGACGUUACUAACGACGAUAUGCUUUGGGUAGCUGUAAGUAAGCGUUGAUCCAGAGAUUUCCGAAUGGGGGAACCCAACACAAGUUAUGUUGUGUUAUCGACAAGUGAAUUCAUAGCUUGUCAGAAGGCAGACCCGGAGAACUGAAACAUCUUAGUACCCGGAGGAAGAGAAAGAAAAUUCGAUUCCCUGAGUAGCGGCGAGCGAAACGGGAAGAGCCCAAACCAAUAAGCUUGCUUAUUGGGGUUGUAGGACACUCUAUACGGAGUUACAAAGGAAUAUAUUAAACGAAUCAUCUGGAAAGUUGAAUCAAAGAAGGUAAUAAUCCUGUAGUUGAAAAUAUAUUCUCUCUUGAGUGGAUCCUGAGUACGACGGAGCACGUGAAAUUCCGUCGGAAUCUGGGAGGACCAUCUCCUAAGGCUAAAUACUCUCUAGUGACCGAUAGUGAACCAGUACCGUGAGGGAAAGGUGAAAAGUACCCCGGAAGGGGAGUGAAAGAGAACUUGAAACCGUGUGCUUACAAGUAGUCAGAGCCCGUUAAUGGGUGAUGGCGUGCCUUUUGUAGAAUGAACCGGCGAGUUACGAUCUGAUGCAAGGUUAAGCAGAAAAUGUGGAGCCGUAGCGAAAGCGAGUCUGAAUAGGGCGUAUAGUAUUUGGUCGUAGACCCGAAACCAGGUGAUCUACCCAUGGUCAGGUUGAAGUUCAGGUAACACUGAAUGGAGGACCGAACCGACUUACGUUGAAAAGUGAGCGGAUGAACUGUGGGUAGCGGAGAAAUUCCAAUCGAACUUGGAGAUAGCUGGUUCUCUCCGAAAUAGCUUUAGGGCUAGCCUCAAGUGAUGAUUAUUGGAGGUAGAGCACUGUUUGGACGAGGGGCCCCUCUCGGGUUACCGAAUUCAGACAAACUCCGAAUGCCAAUUAAUUUAACUUGGGAGUCAGAACAUGGGUGAUAAGGUCCGUGUUCGAAAGGGAAACAGCCCAGACCACCAGCUAAGGUCCCAAAAUAUAUGUUAAGUGGAAAAGGAUGUGGCGUUGCCCAGACAACUAGGAUGUUGGCUUAGAAGCAGCCAUCAUUUAAAGAGUGCGUAAUAGCUCACUAGUCGAGUGACACUGCGCCGAAAAUGUACCGGGGCUAAACAUAUUACCGAAGCUGUGGAUUGUCCUUUGGACAAUGGUAGGAGAGCGUUCUAAGGGCGUUGAAGCAUGAUCGCAAGGACAUGUGGAGCGCUUAGAAGUGAGAAUGCCGGUGUGAGUAGCGAAAGACGGGUGAGAAUCCCGUCCACCGAUUGACUAAGGUUUCCAGAGGAAGGCUCGUCCGCUCUGGGUUAGUCGGGUCCUAAGCUGAGGCCGACAGGCGUAGGCGAUGGAUAACAGGUUGAUAUUCCUGUACCACCUAUAAUCGUUUUAAUCGAUGGGGGGACGCAGUAGGAUAGGCGAAGCGUACGAUUGGAUUGUACGUCUAAGCAGUGAGAUUGAGUGUUAGGCAAAUCCGGCACUCUUAAGAUUGAGCUGUGAUGGGGAGAGGAAAUUGUUUCCUCGAGUCGUUGAUUUCACACUGCCGAGAAAAGCCUCUAGAUAGAGAUUAGGUGCCCGUACCGCAAACCGACACAGGUAGUCAAGAUGAGAAUUCUAAGGUGAGCGAGCGAACUCUCGUUAAGGAACUCGGCAAAAUGACCCCGUAACUUCGGGAGAAGGGGUGCUCUUUAGGGUGCAAGCCCAGAAGAGCCGCAGUGAAUAGGCCCAAGCGACUGUUUAUCAAAAACACAGGUCUCUGCUAAACCGUAAGGUGAUGUAUAGGGGCUGACGCCUGCCCGGUGCUGGAAGGUUAAGAGGAGUGGUUAGCUUCUGCGAAGCUACGAAUCGAAGCCCCAGUAAACGGCGGCCGUAACUAUAACGGUCCUAAGGUAGCGAAAUUCCUUGUCGGGUAAGUUCCGACCCGCACGAAAGGCGUAACGAUUUGGGCACUGUCUCAACGAGAGACUCGGUGAAAUCAUAGUACCUGUGAAGAUGCAGGUUACCCGCGACAGGACGGAAAGACCCCGUGGAGCUUUACUGUAGCCUGAUAUUGAAAUUCGGCACAGCUUGUACAGGAUAGGUAGGAGCCUUUGAAACGUGAGCGCUAGCUUACGUGGAGGCGUUGGUGGGAUACUACCCUAGCUGUGUUGGCUUUCUAACCCGCACCACUUAUCGUGGUGGGAGACAGUGUCAGGCGGGCAGUUUGACUGGGGCGGUCGCCUCCUAAAAGGUAACGGAGGCGCUCAAAGGUUCCCUCAGAAUGGUUGGAAAUCAUUCAUAGAGUGUAAAGGCAUAAGGGAGCUUGACUGCGAGACCUACAAGUCGAGCAGGGUCGAAAGACGG